rnacentral:rRNA from 1 species
GUUCAGAGUACGUGAAACCGUUCAGGGGUAAACCUGAGAAACCCAAAAGAUCGAAUGGGGAGAUUCAUCGUCAGCGCAUUUUGUAUAUGUAUAAGUUAUGAUGUGGGUUACUCUUGUAGUAUUGCCUGUACAUUCUUGUACAUUUUGUUGCAAGAUGUUGUCGGCGUGCACUUCUCCCCUAGUAGGACGUCGCGACCCGUUGGGUGUCGGUCUACGGCCCAAAUGGUAGACUUUAAUGUUUUAAUACACAUUGAAGACCUUUGGUGUUUCCUGACCGACUGCUCGGCGGUAUUCGUACGGUAUUAAGCCGCAUAUUAUAUGCGUCCAUAUCCGUCGCAAGCGAGAUUAAUUUUUGGUAGUACGGACCUAGUGCCGUCGCUGAAGUUAAUCAGCUGUUGGUUGUACGGUGUUCUAGGACUGGCUUAAAAAUUAUUACCGGUCGGCGAUGCUACUGCUUUGGGUACUUUCAGGACCCGUCUUGAAACACGGACCAAGGAGUCUAACAUGUGCGCGAGUCAUUGGGAUUUUUUAAAAAUUAAACCUAAAGGCGUAAUGAAAGUAAAGGUUGUCCUUGCGUCAACCGAGGGAGGAUGAGUUGUAUUAAGAUACAGCUUCGCACUCCCGGGGCGUCUCAUUCUCAUUGCGAGAAGAGGCGCACCUAGAGCGUACACGUUGGGACCCGUACUCUUGUAGUAUUUGGUAGAGUUGGUUGUAUUUUUUAAAAAUUUAAGAUA